rnacentral:rRNA from 1 species
UACGUAGGGGGCAAGCGUUGUCCGGAUUUAUUGGGCGUAAAGAGCGUGUAGGCGGUUUGGUAAGUCCGCUGUGAAAACUCGAGGCUCAACCUCGAGACGCCGGUGGAAACCAUCAGGCUAGAGUCCGGAAGAGGAGAGUGGAAUUCCUGGUGUAGCGGUGAAAUGCGCAGAUAUCAGGAAGAACACCAGUGGCUAAGGCGGCUCUCUAGUACGGUACUGACGCUGAGACGCGAAAGCGUGGGGAGCGAACAGG